rnacentral:rRNA from 2 species
AAGCGGUGGAGCAUGUGGUUUAAUUCGAAGCUACGCGAAGAACCUUACCAGGUCUUGACAUCUUCUGUCAAUCUUAGAGAUAAGACGUUCCCUUCGGGGACAGAAUGACAGGUGGUGCAUGGUUGUCGUCAGCUCGUGUCGUGAGAUGUUGGGUUAAGUCCCGCAACGAGCGCAACCCUUAUUAUCAGUUGCCAGCAUUCAGUUGGGCACUCUGGUGAGACUGCCGGUGACAAACCGGAGGAAGGUGGGGAUGACGUCAAAUCAUCAUGCCCCUUAUGACCUGGGCUACACACGUGCUACAAUGGACGGUACAACGAGUUGCGAAGUCGUGAGGCUAAGCUAAUCUCUUAAAGCCGUUCUCAGUUCGGAUUGUAGGCUGCAACUCGCCUACAUGAAGUUGGAAUCGCUAGUAAUCGCGGAUCAGCAUGCCGCGGUGAAUACGUUCCCGGGCCUUGUACACACCGCCCGUCACACCAUGAGAGUUUGUAACACCCAAAGCCGGUGAGAUAACCUUCGGGAGAUCAGCCGUCUAAGGUGGGACAGAUGAUUGAGAGGUGAAGUCGUAACAAGGUAGCCGUAGAGA